GACGACGGCUGGCGGCGUGGAUUAGGCAUGCAAGUCGAACGGUAGGAUACCUUCGGGUAUCUGAGAGUGGCGAACGGGUGAGUAACACGUAGGUGAUCUACCCUCAAGAUUGGGACAACCCAGGGAAACUUGAGCUAAUACCGGAUGAAAGCAGCAGUGAUGUUGUUUGAAAGGUGGCGUAAGCUGCCGUUUGGGGAUGAGCCUGCGCUCUAUUGGUUAGUUGGCGGGGUAAAGGCCCACCAAGGCGAUGAUAGAUAGGCGGCCUUAACGGGUGGUCGCCCACACUGGGAUUGAGAUACGGCCCAGACUCCUACGGGAGGCAGCAGUCGAGAAUAGUCUACAAUGGCCGAAAGGCUGAUAGUGCGACGCCGCGUGAACGAAGAAGCCCUUCGGGGUGUAAAGUUCUUUUAUAUGUGAGCAGUGCUUUCUAUGUGAACAGCAUGGGGAGAGAGAUAUUAGCAUAUGAAUAAGCAACGGCUAACUCCGUG
rnacentral:rRNA from 1 species